rnacentral:rRNA from 1 species
AUACGGAGGACGCGAGCGUUAUCCGGAUUCAUUGGGUUUAAAGGGUGCGCAGGCGGCCGUGCAAGUCAGCGGUGAAAGCCCGGGGCUCAACCCCGGAAGUGCCGUUGAUACUGCAUGGCUGGAAUGCGGUCGAGGCGGGCGGAACGUGGCGUGUAGCGGGGGAAUGCGUAGAUAUGCCACAGAACGCCGAUAGCGGAGGCAGCUCGCCAGGCCUGCAUGGACGCUCGGGCACGAAAGCGUGGGGAUCGAACAGGAUUAGAUACCCUGGUAGUCCACGCCGUAAACGAUGGGCGCUCGUCGUCGGCGGCAGACAGUCGGCGGCCAAGCGAAAGCGAUAAGCGCCCCACCUGGGGAGUACGGUCGCAAGGCUGAAACUCAAAUGAAUUGACGGGG